GCCGUGUGCGGUGGCGCGUGCCUGUAAUCCAAGUCACUGGGAGGCUGAGGUUGGUGGAUCGAGUGAGCUGAGGAGCUCUGAGCUGCAGCAUGCUAUGUCGAACGGGUGUCAGUGCUAAGUUCGGUAUCGAUAUGGUGUUCUUGGGGGAGCCCGAGACCACC
rnacentral:sRNA from 8 species